UACGGAGGGAGCUAGCGUUGUUCGGAAUUACUGGGCGUAAAGCGCGCGUAGGCGGCUUUGUAAGUUAGAGGUGAAAGCCCGGGGCUCAACUCCGGAACUGCCUUUAAAACUGCAUCGCUUGAAUCCAGGAGAGGUGAGUGGAAUUCCGAGUGUAGAGGUGAAAUUCGUAGAUAUUCGGAAGAACACCAGUGGCGAAGGCGGCUCACUGGGCUGACCUUGACGCUGAGGCGCGAAGGCGUGGGGAGCGAACGGG
rnacentral:rRNA from 1 species